rnacentral:lncRNA from 1 species
UUUUUUUNGGGUCGCACUCGUGGCACAUGGAGGUUCCCAGGCUAGGGGUCUAAUUGGAGCUGUAGCUGCCGGCCUACACCACAGCCACAGCAACACCAGAUCCAAGCUGCGUCUUCGACCUACACCACAGUUCAUGGCAACACCAGAUCAUUAACCCACUGAGCAAGGCCAGGGAAUCAAACCCGCAACCUCAAGUUACCUAGUAGGAUUCGUUAACCACUGAGCCACAACAGGAACUCCGAGAUGGCUUAUUUUCAAUGAUAACAGUAUAUUGAGUAUCUAUAUACAGGACCUGGAUCUAAGUAUUUUAUGUGUUAUACGACUCAGCCUUCACACAAUCCCAUGCAGCAGGUUCCUUUAUCAACCGUCCCAUUUCAAGGAAGAGAAAUGGCACAAAGAGGUCAGAUCACAUACCAGGAUUCAGACCCAUGAGGUCUGGCUCCAGAGCCUUUACUCUUCAUUCUUUUAAUGUUUUGUUAUAAAAUGUUUCAACCCAUAUCAAAGAGUACAAAAAAUAAUUAUCCCCAUAUACUCACAACCUAAAUUUAAUAAUUAUGAUUUGGUGCCAGACUUGCCUCCUAAUUUUUACAGAACUAUUCUGAAAUGAAUUACAGACAACAUGACAUUUAUUUCACCCACAAAUAAGAUAAAAGGCACCUUUUAUUUUUUUUUAUUUUAUUAUUAUUUUUUUUUUUUUUUGUCUUUUUGCCUUUUUUAGGACCGCACCUGAGGCAUAUGGAGCGGCCCAAGAAAUGGCAAAAAGACAAAAAAAAAAAAAAAAGUUUCCCUCUACCAAAACAUGAAAGGAAAUGCAGAAGAAAGCCAAGAUAGCAGUUCACUUAUCCAGUGCCUCUUUUGAGAUGAUGUGGUUGGGCUGGGUUUAAACAUGCCCUAGGAAAUGAAGGUUUUGGAUAGGUUUCACUGUCUUCUCUACGUGACUCAAAAGAAGAAAAGUUCAAGGAACAUGAGCUGGCAGGAAGAUCAUUUAGUCCUCCACGUGCUCUAAGUGAGCUGGCAGAGCAGCUCUGAUGGAGCCCUGGUUGAGGGCAUUCUCUAGGGCAUUCAGACACAUGACUAAUGACAGGCCAAGGGUGCAAAGCAACAGGCUGAGAGGUGUAGGCUUUUCAACACAGGCCCAGAAAUCCCAGAACCAUGGCCCUUCUUCCGAAAGAAUCUGAGGGCCAAAAUAGUCUGAAGCCACAGCUGACCAUCCAGAUGGCCUCCUCAAGGGAAUUAGAGCCUGUGAUGACCAAGCAAGGAUAUCGGGUCACCUGUCAGGCCAGCAUCAGGGGUCCAAUCAAGCAGUCUAGAGCUGCUGAGACAAAAGUCCUCAGAAGGAUGCAAAGUCUUCAGAGAGCCUGGGCAUAAAGGUCCUAAGACCACUUACCACCUGGUUUCUACCCCUGCUGUUGUCCAGUUAGCUCGGAAUGCUGAAGAUGGAAGAGGCACCGGAGACCCCCUAGCUCACCUCCCUCAUUGGUCUCAGAGAGGGAAAGAGGUUUAACCAACCUCAUCAAUCACAAUGCUGUGCUCAUGAUACCCAGCCCACUGCUCUGUCCUGUUGAACCCAACCACUAGGCACCAUCAUUUGCCUGCUUCUUUUCUUCCUCUCUGCACUUGCCUGGCCUGUCUGGUUUGCCAGUCUCCCAGUUUCUGCCACUUUCACAGGGAAUAUAGUUGCCAUUUUCCCUGGUCAAAUGAGAAACCCCUGCCCAUGACAACUUGGGCUACUCGAGCCCCAGAGCCUUGGAGUGAGAAGAGGGUAAAACACAGAAGUUGUCCUGUGUCCACAGAAGCGGAGAAAUUUUGGUUAAAAAACAACAGCAUACAACUCCACUGCAAAAGCAGCAGAGCAACAGCUCACAGCUGGACUUCCUUUUUUUAUUUAUUUAUUAUCUAUUUCAACUGAUCUUAUUUAAUGCAUCCUUUCUAUAGAAUACCUAGGCCAAUGGUAAAGGAAUUAGCUUUAUUUGGAAAAGGCGAAAGUGACUGGAACUGGCCCUUUUAGGAGGCUGAGGGGACUCAGAAAGCAGAUCCUACCUAGCAAGGCAAGAGGGACACCAGACCCAGUAGAGACCACUCAUUCAAAUAUUCACCAGACAGACACAUGGGCGUCAGCAGUGCAGCCUUGAAUGAAUGAACCUCCACCACCCAUCACCCUCUGGCUGGAGCUCCUUGAAGACAGACUGCACCAUACUCCCCUCUGCACUACUGUGCCUGGGUUUGUGAGAAGUGCUCACUAAAUGCUUUUGCUGGAGGAAUCAACCACACCGCCCUCCUGCGUGCUUACAUGCAUACAAACACAUGUAUACAUGUAAAUAGAAACCUCAUGUAGAUAGAAAUCUCAACAAAGACAGUCUUAAAAGCCCCAUUUAUAAACCUGUUUUCCAAAAAAUUAUUUUUUUUGGGUUUAGGGGUUUUCGUUUUGUUUUGUUUGGGGUUUUUUGUUUGUUUGUUUUUAGUGCCCAGAUUUUUAAAGUUUUAUUGAAGUGUAGUUGAUUCACAAUGUUGUG